UUGAAGAAGCAGCUCUUGAGGUUUGUGAUUUACACUGAAGGGCACAGUGAAGGUGGCAGCGUGUCCCUCCCAUUUCCCUGCCCUGUGUAACAGGGAUUUUAUGGGCACUGCUGGCUGCCAAAGCUUUUCAGUCCUGAAAAAAAAGGAAUCCUGCAAGUGUGACCAGCUGGGAGAUGCUGUCAGGCUCACGCACAUCCCUUCAUCCCAAUGGAUCACUUCCCACUGGGGAGAGUCCAGAUCACUCCCUGGGGAAGGCACUUGGUGUCCUCCAGUGACACUUCCCUGGUGAAUGAGGAAUCACCUCGUGAGGCAAGGCUGGGACUGAGCUGGAGCAGGAGGACAUUCCCUGCCACAUCCUGGCAAAAAUGCAGCACCAACAUCCACUCCUUGACCAGAGUCCUGUUUGUCUCCCAGGAAAGCAGAAGGAAUGGGAGUCGCUGCUUCUCCAAAAUUCAGGGAGUGCUGGAUACCUACUGGGAUUCUCAUCCCACCCUGCAGGGAAGAGCUCCAGAGGGAUAUACAGAAUAUUGUUAACUGGCUGGGAGUGCAGUGAUGCACCCUUGGUGCUCAGAGAGUUUCUUCCACAGCACCCCAAACUCCAGGUGUAAGCUCCACUCUGGGCCUCAGCAUCCUUAAAAACAUCACCUUUCAGAGCCUUGCCCUGUGAUAAUCCAUCCCUUCAUCCCAGUGCUGGAAUGGCUGCAGCCAGACGUGCCAGGGAGCCCUGAGCUCGUGGUGUGACAGCCCAACCAGACUUUGAAACCACAUCUCUGGAGGUGUCAUAGACAGCUCUGAGCAGACUGCAAGGUGCCCUUAAUGAACUGGCAUCAUGGAACUGGGAUUGCUGGAUCACCCUGAAAAAAUUCUGAGUAUUGAGGU